rnacentral:ncRNA from 2 species
UUCUUAUCCAGAGAAACCGAGGGACAGGCCCUAUGACGUUUCGGCAGCGGGUUCGCUACAUGCGAACACUGUGCUAAUUCCUGCAGAUGCUUUUUUGCAUCUGGAAGAUGAGAA